rnacentral:lncRNA from 1 species
UAGAUGUUUGUUAUAUACUUACUUAUUAUAAAAAAUACUUUUUUUUUACAAUAAUCAUGCUUUACUUUUCUUAUUCAGACUCCUUUCUAAAGAUAAAGUCCUAGAAGUAGGAGAGCUGGGUCAAUGGAUACAUCCUUUUAAUGACACUGAAUACAUAUUGCCAAAUUGCCCUUAAGAAGAUCUCACUAUCAAAACAUUGAAGAGAAACCACUGCUCAUCUGCCAGCCUCACAGCCAGAGCCACUUCAGCUACCAUCCCAGAAAAGCCCACCUAUCAGGAUUCUGGACAUUUUCCUCAGAGACCCUUGGGCUUCCUUUCUAAAUAAAU